rnacentral:rRNA from 1 species
GUGAGGAAUUUUCCGCAAUGGGUGAAAGCCUGACGGAGCAAUGCCGCGUGAAGGAUGAAGGCCUAUGGGUUGUAAACUUCUUUUCUCAGAAAAGAAUUAUGACGGUAUCUGAGGAAUAAGCAUCGGCUAACUCUGUGCCAGCAGCCGCGGUAAGACAGAGGAUGCAAGCGUUAUCCGGAAUGAUUGGGCGUAAAGCGUCUGUAGGUUGUUUAAAAAGUAUUCUGUCAAAGAUUAGGGCUUAACCCUAGAUAGGCAGAAUAAACUUUUAAGCUAGAGUUUGGUAGAGGCAGAGGGAAUUCCCGGUGGAGCGGUGAAAUGCGUAGAUAUCGGGAGGAACACCAAAGGCGAAGGCACUCUGCUGGGCCAAUACUAACACUGAGAGACGAAAGCGAGGGGAGCAAAUGGGAUUAGAAACCCCAGUAGUCC